rnacentral:rRNA from 1 species
AGUGAACGCUGGCGGUAGGCCUAACACAUGCAAGUCGAACGGCAGCACAGUAAGAGCUUGCUCUUACGGGUGGCGAGUGGCGGACGGGUGAGGAAUACAUCGGAAUCUACUUUUUCGUGGGGGAUAACGUAGGGAAACUUACGCUAAUACCGCAUACGACCUACGGGUGAAAGCAGGGGAUCUUCGGACCUUGCGCGAUUGAAUGAGCCAAUGUCGGAUUAGCUAGUUGGCGGGGUAAAGGCCCACCAAGGCGACGAUCCGUAGCUGGUCUGAGAGGAUGAUCAGCCACACUGGAACUGAGACACGGUCCAGACUCCUACGGGAGGCAGCAGUGGGGAAUAUUGGACAAUGGGCGCAAGCUUGAUCCAGCCAUACCGCGUGGGUGAAGAAGGCCUUCGGGUUGUAAAGCCCUUUUGUUGGGAAAGAAAAGCAGCAGGUUAAUACCCCGCUGUUCUGACGGUACCCAAAGAAUAAGCACCGGCUAACUUCGUG